UGCAGUCGAGGGGCAGCAUAGGGUAGCAAUACUUUGAUGGCGACCGGCGCACGGGUGAGUAACACGUAUGCAACCUACCUACAUCAGGGGAAUAACCCGGAGAAAUUCGGACUAAUACCGCAUAAUACAGGGAUGCCGCAUGGCAAUAUUUGUUAAAGAUUUAUCGGAUGUAGAUGGGCAUGCGUUCCAUUAGCUAGUUGGUAAGGUAACGGCUUACCAAGGCAACGAUGGAUAGGGGAACUGAGAGGUUUGUCCCCCACACUGGAACUGAGACACGGACCAGACUCCUACGGGAGGCAGCAGUGAGGAAUAUUGGUCAAUGGACGAGAGUCUGAACCAGCCAAAUCGCGUGAAGGAAGACUGCCCUACGGGUUGUAAACUUCUUUUGUACAGGAAUAAAAGACAUUACGUGUAAUGUAUUGCAUGUACUGUACGAAUAAGCAUCGGCUAACUCCGUGCCAGCAGCCGCGGUAAUACGGAGGAUGCGAGCGUUAUCCGGAUUUAUUGGGUUUAAAGGGUGCGCAGGCGGGAUUUUAAGUCAGCGGUGAAAUUUUCAGGCUCAACCUGAACACUGCCGUUGAAACUGGGAUUCUUGAGUGUGGAUGAAGUAGGCGGAAUUCGUUGUGUAGCGGUGACAUGCUUAGAUAUAACGAGGAACUCCGAUUGCGUAGGCAGCUUACUAAGCCAUAACUGACGCUCAAGCACG
rnacentral:rRNA from 1 species